GUGCGCGCUUCGGCAGCACAUAAACUAAAAUUGGAACAAUACAGAGAAGAUUAGCAGGGCCCCUGCGCCAGGAGGAUACGCAAUUUCGGGACGCGUUCCAUAUAAGA